rnacentral:rRNA from 1 species
UAGGGAAUCUUCGGCAAUGGGGGGAACCCUGACCGAGCAACGCCGCGUGAGUGAAGAAGGUUUUCGGAUCGUAAAGCUCUGUUGUUAAGGAAGAACGUGUGUGAGAGUGGAAAGUUCACACAGUGACGGUACUUAACCAGAAAGGGACGGCUAACUACGUGUCAGCAGCCGCGGUAAUACGUAGGUCCCGAGCGUUGUCCGGAUUUAUUGGGCGUAAAGCGAGCGCAGGCGGUUAGAUAAGUCUGAAGUGAAAGGCAGUGGCUCAACCAUUGUAGGCUUUGGAAACUGUUUAACUUGAGUGCAGAAGGGGAGAGUGGAAUUCCAUGUGUAGCGGUGAAAUGCGUAGAUAUAUGGAGGAACACCGGUGGCGAAAGCGGCUCUCUGGUCUGUAACUGACGCUGAGGCUCGAAAGCGUGGGGAGCGAACAGGAUUAGAUACCCUGGUAGUCCACGCCGUAAACGAUGAGUGCUAGGUGCUAGGUCCUUUCCGGGACUUAGUGCCGCAGCUAACGCAUUAAGCACUCCGCCUGGGGAGUACGACCGCAAGGUUG